UACGGGGGGUGCGAGCGUUGUCCGAAAUCACUGGGCGUAAAGGGCGCGUAGGCGGGUCAUCAAGUCCGGGGUGAAAGCCCACGGCCCAACCGUGGAAGUGCCUUGGAUACUGAAGACCUCGAGGGGGAUAGGGGCGUGCGGAACUCAGGGUGGAGCGGUGAAAUGCGUAGAUAUCCUGAGGAACACCGGUGGCGAAAGCGGCGCGCUGGAUCCCUUCUGACGCUGAGGCGCGAAAGCCAGGGGAGCAAACGGG
rnacentral:rRNA from 1 species